rnacentral:tRNA from 1 species
CAAUAAAUAGUUUAUAAAGAACAUUAAUUUUGGAGAUUAAAAGUAUAUUCUUACUAGAUUAUUUUUUUGA